rnacentral:lncRNA from 1 species
AAAUCGUUUUACCGGCUCUCUUUUAGGUACCCGCCAUGCCUGGAUGAGAACUCAUCGUCAUUCCUGCAUUGGAGCGACGUUCCAGAAGUCUAAGCCCUGUUCUCAGAGACCACAUGCUCACACAGCUGUCCCAACCAUCCCACAGCCACCUGCCCUCCUCGGCAGCGCUAGCUCGCCAAAGAAGACGGCCCUGGUGUUCCGAGGCUUCCAUUUUCCACCUUUGUAAUCCUUGGCAGGGAUUUCUAGGCUCCUUUCCUGGUGGGAUCCCUUGUACCCCUAUGAAUUACUAGGGAGGGGGGUAAUGGUUGUUAGAUUCGACAGCCCUCGGGGUCUUGUCCCAGAGAGUUACAGUAUAGGAAUGGAGACAAAGUCUCCCCCCCCCCCCCCCCCCCCGUCACUUCCAAGACAGUUGGACCCGUCUUGUCCAGGAGUUGCCAACUACAUGUCCUCAGAGCACUGACACAAUGAUAACUCUACCUGGCAGCCAAGAACUUGUAGCAAUUUUCUUUCAUUUGGGGAUACUGUUCUGUUUUUGCCUCUUUGGGAUACUGUAUCCAGGAUAGUGGAUCUCCUUCAUAAUCCUCUGCAUUUUAUUUUGUGCCUGUACACACAUAAUUCUGAGAAGGGCUCCCGGGCUUCGCCUGCCUGCCAGACUCUCCACAGGCUCCUUCUGCCCUUUGUCUAUGCCACAAGUUAGGAUUUCCUGUGCCCCUUCGCCUCCUCGUUCUUCGUUGUUUCUUCUUUCAAAGCCUUUUUCUGUUCUUCCAAGGAGCGCUUCGUUGUCUGAAGGCUAUCAAUCCAGCCUUUUCACUGACUCCUCUGGGAUGGAACCAACCUGCCCCUUGUUCACAUCCACGGUUUCUUGUCCCACAACUGGGGCACCCUCUCUCCAUGAGUCACUGCAUGAUUCUCUUUAUCUCCAUGCUACCCGAACGCAGAUGCUCUCCUUGGUGAGGGAUACAUCUCAAUUAGCUGCCUUUGAUUAGCAGUGAACACAUUCCUGCCAAGCCCUGACACAAACAGAAGCUGGCUACUCAGCAAUCCAAUUAUCAACAAAGCUUUAUCUAAUUAAAUCUAUUACUGAACGUCCCUUGUUCAAAACAAAAUGUAUUGAUUAAUUUUUUUUUUUACUCAAUCAAUUAAUAGGAAUAUACUAAGCAGGGCCAGCUAGGUAGCUCAGUGGAUGGAGGUUCUGGGUUCAGACACUUCCUGGUUAUGUGACCCUGGGCAAGUCACUUGACCCCCAUUGCCUAGCCCUUACCACUUUUCUGCCUUGGAACCAAUACACAGUAUUGAUUCCAAGAUGGAAGGUAAGGGUUUAAAAAAAAACAACUGAUACUUAGUGUUGAUUCUAAGAGAGAAGGUGGGGGAUUUUUUAAAAAGGGACUAUAUUAAGCACCUACUAUAUACCAGGCACUAUGCUAGGAGCCAGAGAGACAACACAAAAAUGGUAUAGUUCCUGCCCUCAGGAAGCUUACAUUCUAGUGAAUGGAAUUGCCUGCUUCCUCCUUCCCCAGCUUUCCCUCACAGUCUUCAGGCUUUGGGGAUGAGGGUAUCCCUGUUUCUAGGGGGGAAGGGACUCUGAAACCUUUUCUCCUCCAAGCCCUCAGUCUAUAGGGUAAUCCCGAGAGGAUCCAAGCUCUCCCUGAAUGCUUCAUCGGUUGCAUCCACAACUUUGUUUGUACAAAGUUUGUAGGUGGUCUCCUCCACUGGACUGUAAGCCCCCUGUGGCCUUUACUCUUCUUUGCAUCCCCAGUGCUUAGCACAGCAUGCCUGGCAUUCAGUAGGCACUUAAAUGUUUGUUGGCUUGACUUGAGCUGGGAUCCCAAGGGUCCAUCCUCUUUACUCCACCCCCUGCUAUCAUCCUCAGCUCCGGUUUGAAAAUGCUUUGUUGGGGUAUGAGACCACCUGGUUUGGCCUCUCUUCAAUUGGUCUCAGUUCCCCAUGUGUCUGUCUUGUCUACAACGCAUGAGCUAGACAUUGAUU